rnacentral:rRNA from 1 species
UACGUAGGGUGCAAGCGUUGUCCGGAAUUAUUGGGCGUAAAGAGCUCGUAGGCGGUUUGUUGCGUCGGCUGUGAAAACCCGCGGCUUAACCGCGGGCUUGCAGUUGAUACGGGCAGGCUAGAGUUCGGUAGGGGAGACUGGAAUUCCUGGUGUAGCGGUGAAAUGCGCAGAUAUCAGGAGGAACACCGGUGGCGAAGGCGGGUCUCUGGGCCGAUACUGACGCUGAGGAGCGAAAGCGUGGGGAGCGAACAGG